rnacentral:rRNA from 1 species
AGUGAACGCUGGCGGUAGGCCUAACACAUGCAAGUCGAACGGCAGCACAGUAAGAGCUUGCUCUUACGGGUGGCGAGUGGCGGACGGGUGAGGAAUACAUCGGAAUCUACUUUUUCGUGGGGGAUAACGUAGGGAAACUUACGCUAAUACCGCAUACGACCUACGGGUGAAAGCAGGGGAUCUUCGGACCUUGCGCGAUUGAAUGAGCCGAUGUCGGAUUAGCUAGUUGGCGGGGUAAAGGCCCACCAAGGCGACGAUCCGUAGCUGGUCUGAGAGGAUGAUCAGCCCCCCUGGACCUGAGACCCGUCCCAGCCCCCUACGGGAGGCCGCAGUGGGGAAUUUUGGACAAUGGGCGCAAGCCUGCUCCAGCCAUCCCGGGUGGGUGAAGAAGGCCUUCGGGUUGUAAAGCCCUUUUUUUGGGAAAAAAAAGCAGCAGGUUAAUACCCCGCUGUUCUGCCGGUACCCAAAGAAUAAGCCCCGGCUAACUUCGU